AGAGUUUGAUCAUGGCUCAGAACGAACGCUGGCGGCGUACUUAACACAUGCAAGUCGUACGAGAAAGGGGACUUCGGUCCCUGAGUACAGUGGCGAACGGGUGCGUAACACGUAAGUAAUCUACCCCGAACACUGGGAUAACCCUCCGAAAGGAGGGCUAAGACUAGAUAGGGUCCCCGAGGUAUAAGCUGCGGGGGGAAAACGGGCCUCUGUUUCAUGCUCGUGGUUUGGGAUGAGCUUGCGGCCCAUUAGCUAGUUGGUAGGGUAAUGGCCUACCAAGGCAACGAUGGGUAGCUGGUCUGAGAGGAUGAUCAGCCACACUGGCACUGAGACACGGGCCAGACUCCUACGGGAGGCAGCAGUGGGGAAUUUUGCGCAAUGGGUGAAAGCCUGACGCAGUAACGCCGCGUGGAGGAUGAAGGCCUUCGGGUUGUAAACUCCUGUCGGGAGGAACGACGGAGAGAGGGUGAUAAGCCCUUUUUUCCAGACGGUACCUCCAAAGGAAGCCCCGGCUAAUUCCGUGCCAGCAGCCGCGGUAAUACGGAAGGGGCUAGCGUUGUUCGGAAUCAUUGGGCGUAAAGGGCGCGUAGGUGGUCUUGUAUGUCUACCGUGAAAGCACACGGCUCAACCGUGUUAGGUCGGUAGAAACUGCAGGACUUGAGGCUGGGAGGGGCUGGUGGAAUUCCCCGUGUAGCGGUGAAAUGCGUAGAGAUGGGGGAGAACACCCGUGGCGAAGGCGGCCAGCUAGACCAGUUCUGACACUGAGGCGCGAUAGCGUGGGGAGCAAACAGGAUUAGAUACCCUAGUAGUCC
rnacentral:rRNA from 1 species